rnacentral:lncRNA from 10 species
UCUCAAUCUCCUGACCUCAUGAUCCACCCGCCUCGGCCUCCCAAAGUGCUGGAAUUAUAGAUGUGAGCCACCACACCCGGCCGUUAUUAUUUUCUUGAUAAAUUGAUUCCUUUAUCAUUAUAGUGACCUUCUUGUUUCCUGGACUUUUUGUUUUGAAAUCUAUUUUGUCUGAUAUAAGUAUAGCUACUCCUGCUUUAUCUUGUUUCUGUCGGCAUGGAAUAGCUUUUUCCAUCUGUUUAUACAGUCCAUGUGUGCAUGCAUAGGUAAAAUGUAGGCAACAGAUCACUGGGUAUCUUUUUUAAAAAAUCCAUUUAAACACUCUAUGUUGUUUGAUAGGAGAGUGAUAUGGUUAGGUUCUGUGUUCCCAACCAAAUCUCUUCCUGAAUUUGUAAUCCCCAGGUGUUGAGGGAGAGACCUGGUGGGAGGUGAUUCGAUCAUGGAGAUAGUUUUCCCCAUGCUGUUCUUGUGAUAAUGUGUGAGUUCUCACAGGAUUUGAUGGUUUUUUAAGUGUUUGACAUUUUCUCCUAUACACACUCUCUCUGUCUCUCCCAUCCACAGUGAAGAAGGUGCCAGCUUCCCCUUCUGCCAUGAUUGUAAGCUUCCUGAGGCUUCCCCAGUCAGGUGGAACUAUCCCAGAAUGGUAGAUGCACUGAGAGUUUGCACCAUGCACCUGGAAAAGCCACAGACGCUCAAUGCCAGCCAUGAAAGCAGCCGUGAAAGCAGCUGUGGAGUCUGUACCCGGCAAAGGCAUAGGGGCAGAGCUGUCCAGGGCCAUGGGAGCCCACCUCUUGCAUCGGCAUGAACUGGAUACACUCUCUCUGUCUCUCCUGCCACCUUAUGAAGAAGGUGCCUGCUUCCCCUUCUGCCAUGAUCGUAAGUUCUCUGAGACCUCCCCAGCCAGCGGAAACAGUGAGUCAAUUAAACCUCCUUUGUUUAUUAAAUUACUCAGUCUUGGGUAGUGUCUUUACAGCAGUGUGAAAACGGACUAAUACAGAGAAUUUAGUCCAUUUACAUUCAAUGUAAUCAAUAAUAAGUAAGGAAUUACUUCUGCCAUUUUGCUGUUUGUUUUCUGUUUGUUUUGUGGUCUUUUCUUCCUUUUUUCUUUCCUUCCUGUCUUCCAUUUAGUGAAGGUGAUUUUUCUCUGGUUUUAGAAUUUGAUGUCUUGCUUUUUAUUUUUUGUAUCCUUUGCAUGUUUUCACAUUUGAUGUUAACAUGAGGCUUGUAAAUACCUUCUUAUAACCCAUUAUGUAUGCUGAUAACAACUUAACACUCUUUGCAUAAACAAACAACAAAUAGAAAACUAAUAAAAAUUCUACAUCCUAUAUCCCCCACUUUUUAGCUUUUUGUUGCUUUUACUUAUAUCUUUUUUUUUUUUUUUUGAGUUGGAGUCUCACUCUGUCUCCCAGGCUGGAGUGCAAUGGCAUGAUCUUGGCUCACUGCAAGCUCCGCCUGCCGGGUUCACACCAUUCUCCUUCCUCAGCCUCCCGAGUAGCUGGGACUACAGGCGUCUGCCAAGCCUGGCUAAUUUUAUUGUAUUUUUAGUAGAGACAGGGUUUCACCGUGUUAGCCAAGAUGGCCUCGAUCUCCUGACCUCACGAUCUGCCCACCUCGGCCUCCCAAAGUGCUGAGAUUACAGACGUGAGCCACCGUGCCCAGCCCACUUUUCCUUAUAUCUUAUGGUACUAUUUUUGCCUUGAAAAGUUAUUAUGGUUAUUAUUUUUGAUUGGUUCAAUGUUUAUUCUUUCUACUUAACAGUAGUUUACAUACUGGAGUUACGUAUUAUAUUAUUCUGUAUUUAUCUGUGUACUUACUAUUACCAGUGAGAUUUGUAUCUUCAGAUAAUUUCUUAUUGUUCAUUAAUGUUCUUUUCUUUCUAAUUGAAGUACUCCCUUUAGCAUUCCUUAUACGAUGGACCUGAUAUUGAAGAAUUUCCUUAGCUUUUGUUUGUCUGGGGAAGUUAUUUCUUCUUCAUGUUUGAAGGCAAGUUUCACCACAUGUACUAUUCUAGGAUAAAAGUGGAUUUCCUUCAGAAUUUUAAACAUAUCAUGGCAUUCUCUCUUGGCCUGUAAGGACUUUCAGACAUUUCUACUGAAAAGUCUUCUUAAGUUAUAUUGGAGCUUUAUUAUAUGUUAUUUGUUUCUUUUAUCUCGCUGGUGUUAGGACCCUUUCUUUAUUCUUGAUCUUUGGGGAUUUGAUUAUUAAAUGCCUUCAGGUAGAUUUUAUUAUUAAAUGCCAACUGCUUGGUGGUCAAUAACCCUUUUGUAUUUCAAUAUUGAUAUCUUUCUCCAGGUUUGGAAAUUUCUCUGUUAUUGUCUCUUUGAAUAAACUUUCUAGCCUUCUCUUUCUACUUCCUCUUUAAGGCCAAUAACUCAGAUUUGCCUUUUUGAGGCUAUUUUCUACAUCUUGUAGGUGGGCUUCAUUGUGUGUGUGUGUGUGUGUGUGUGUGUGUGUGUGUGUGUGUGUGUUUUGGCUCCUCUACGUAUUUUUAAAUAGCCUGUCUUCAAGCUCACUAAUUCUUCCUUCUGCUCAAACAAUUCUGCUAUUAAGAGAAUCUGAUGCAUGCUAUAGCAUGUCAAUUAUAUUUAUCAACUCAAUAAUUUAUGCUUGAUUCUUUUCAAUUAUUUCAAUUUCUUUGCUAAAUGUAUCUGAUAGGGUUCUCAAUUCCUUCUUUGUGUUAUCUUGAAUUUCUUUGAGUUUCCUCAAAAGAGUAAUUUUGAAUUCUCUGUCUGAAAGGAUUGGUCCCUGGUGCCUCCUAUAAUUUGUUGGUUGAAGUCAUGUUUUUCUGGAUGGUUUUGAUACUUGUUAAUUUUUUUAGUGUCUGGGCAUUGAAGAGUUAGGUAUGUAUUGUAGACUUAGCAGACUCAGCUAGUUUGUACCCGUCGUUUUGGGAAGGCUUUCCAGAUAUUUGAAAGGACUUUGGCAUUGAGAUCUAAGCAGUAUCUGCAUUAGGGGAAACUCCAAGCCCAGUAAUGCUGUAGUUCUUGCAGAAUCAUAGGCAUAAUGGCUUUAUGGUCUUGGAUAAAACUGAAAAAAAUUCUCUGGAUCACCAGGCAGAAACUCUUGUUGUCUUUCUUUACUUUUUCUCAAACAAACGGAUUGUCCCUCUGUUUUGAGCCAUCUCGAGUUUGGGGUGGGAUGAAAUGAGCACCUCUGUAGCCUCUGCCUCUGAGACUGUGUUAGGUCUGACCUGAAGGCAGCACAGCACUUGGUCUCACCCCAAACCCACUGUAACCACUACCUGGCUACUGCCUGUAUUUGCUUACGUCACUGGGCAGUGACGUAAAUCAGCAGGCAGUGAAGCAAGCCAGGCUUCUAUCCUUUCCUUCAGGAUGAUGAGUUCCCUUAAGCCCUGGGUGAGUCCAGUAUUAUCUUCUAGGAGCCAGGGACUGAAGUGAUACAGCUUAGAAGUCUACCUGAUGUUCUAUUUACAGUGCAGCUGAGCUGGUACUCAACUAUGGGACACAAUUCUUCUCACCCUUUCCUCCUUUUUCCACAGGGAGAGGCACUUCACCUUCUGGUAACCAACACCACAGGCUUAUGGGGAUUACUGCAAGGUGAUGAGAGAUGUUCCCUUAAGCCCCAAGUGCUCUUCAGUCAUUUUGUGAUGAAUGCUGUCAGACCUAGGACUCACCCUUCAGUGCAGUGGACUCCUCUCUGUCCCAGGGCAGGUUCAGAAAUGCUCAGAAAUGCCACCCAAGAGCCAAGGCCUUGAAUUCAGGACCCCAAGAGCCUACUUGGUGUUCCGACCUAUUGUGGUCAAGCUGGUACCUAGGGUGCAAAACAAAGUCCCCAUUAUUUUUCUCCAGCAGAGGGAGUGUCUCCUAGUAGCCAACACAGCUGGGAUUAUGCCGAGUCUCACGUGAAGCCUACAUGUCUUGGAGUCUCACCCAAAGCCCACAGCAUAUGACAUGAGUAUCAUUGCUGAUUAUUCAGAGCUCAAAGGCUCUUUAGUCAGUAGGUGAUGGGUCCUGCCAGGUCUAGAUUCCUUCCUGCAGGCAGUGGGUUCCGUUAUGGUCAGGAUGUGUCUAGAAAUAUUAUCCAGGAACUAGGGCCUGGAAAGGGGGCCUCAUGGCUCUGACCAAUUUCUCUGGCUACUACUUCCAGUGCUAUACUGAAUAGGAGUGCUGUUGGAUUCAGUUUGCUAGUAUUUUGUUGAGUAUUUUUUCAUCUUUGGUCAUCAAGGAUAUUGGACAGUUGUUGUCUUUUUUUACUGUGUCUUUGCUAGGUUUUAGUGUCAGGGUGAUGCUAGCUUUUUAGAUAACUUAGGAAACAGUCCAUCUUCAAAUUUUUUGGAAUAGUUGUAGCGGAAUUGGUACCAGCUCUUCUUUGCAUGUCUGAUAGAAUUUGGCUGUGAAUCCAUCUGGUACAGGGCUUUUGUUGAUUUAUUUUUUUAAAAUACUGCUUCAAUUUUAGAACUUGAUAUUGGUCUAUUAGGGUUUCAAUUUCUUUCUUGUUCAAUCUUGGGAGGUUGUGUGUUUCUGGGAAUUUAUUUUCUCUAUAUUUUCUAGUCUUUGUGCAUAUAGGUGUUCAUAAUAGUCUCAGCAUAUUUUGUAUUUCUGUGAGAUAGGUUGUAAUGCCACCUUUGUUGUUUCUGAUUUUGCUUAUUUUAAACUUUUCUCUUUUGUGUUUAUCUAGUUAUUAGUCUAUUGAUCUUGUUUAUUCUUUCAAAGAACCAACCUUUGGUUUCACUGACCUUUGUAUUAAAUUUUGGGUCUCAAUUUCAUUCAGUUCUGCUCUGAUUUUAGUGAUUUUUUUCUGCUACCUUUGGGGUUACAUUGUUCUGUUUUUUUCUAGUUCCUGUAGGUGUGACUUUAGAUCAUUAAUUUGAGAUCUUUCUAACAUUUUAAGGUUGGUGAUUUACACUUUAAUCUUUCCUCUUAACACUGCUUUUGCUACGGCCCAUAGAUGUUGGUAUGUUGUUUCUCUAUUUAUUUCAAAUAAUUUAAUUUCUGCCUUAUUUUGUCGUUCACCUAAAAGUCAUUCGGGAGAAAGUUGUUUAAUUUCCAUGUAAUUGUGUGAUUUUUGAGAUUUGUGAUUUUUGGUAUUGGUUUCUAUGCUUAUUCCACUCUGGUACAAGAGUAUGGAUGGCAUGGAUUUCAUUUUUUUUUUUUUUUGUGGAAAUUAUUGAGGCUUGCUUUAUGGGAAACUAUGUGUUUGAUCUUGGAGUAUAUUUUGUGUGCAGAUGAGAAUUUAUAUUCUGUGUCUGAUAGGUGAAGUAUUCUGUAGAAGUCUAUUAGGUUCUGUUAGCCAAAUGUUGAAUAUAAGUCCAAAAUUUAUUUGUUAAUUUCUGCCUUGAAGAUCUCUUUAACACUGUCAGUGGGGCACUGAAGUCCCUCGCCAUUAUUGUGUAGUUAUGUAUGUCUUGUUGUGGGUUUAGAAGUAAUUACUUUAUAAAUCUGGGUGCUCCAAUGUUGGACAUGUAUAUAUUUAGAAUAGAUAAGCCAUCUUGUUAAUUGAACACUUCAUUAUUACGUAAUGCUAUUCUUUAUCCUUUUUUAUUAUUGGAUUAAGGUCUGUUUUGUAUGAUAUAGUCAUAGUGACACCUGCUCAUUUUUGUUUUCUUUUUCUUUUUUCUUUGAGAUAGAGUUUCACUCUUGUUGCCCAGGCUGGAGUGCAAUAGCAUGGUCUCAGCUCACUGUAACCUCCACCUCCUGGGUUCAAGUAAUUUUCCUGUGUCGGACUCCCAAGUAGCUGGGAUUACAGGUGCCUGCCACACCCAACCAAUUUUGUGUUUUUAGUAGAGAUGGGGUGUCACCAUGUUAGUCAGGUUGGUCUCAAACUCCUGACCUCAGGGGAUCCACCCUCCUUGGCCUCCCAAACUGCUGGGAUUACAGACGUGAGCCACCGCACCCUGCCUUGUUUUCUUUUUAUGUGGUAGAUUUUUUUCUCACUGUUUACAUCAACCCAUGUGAUACAGGUCUUUUGAAAAUAGAAGAUGGAUGGGUCUUGUAUUUGUAUCCAUCCUGCCACUCUGUGCCUUUUAAAUGGAGGCAUUUAGACUGUUUAAAUUCAAGGUUAAUAUUGAUAUGUGAAGUUUUAAUCCUAUCAUGAAGUUGUUAGCUGGUUCCUCUGUAGUUUCUACUGUGUCAUUGCUUCAUAGGGUCUGUGGGCUAUGUUUUUUAGUAUGGUUUUGUGAUAGCAGGUUUCAUUCUUUUAUUUUGACAUUUAGAACUCCCUUAAGGAUCUAUUGUAAGGCUUUUUUAUUGGUAACUAAUUCCCUUAGCCCUUGCUUGUUGGGAAAAGCAACAAAGCAAAUAAUCAAAUUUCUCUUUUGAUUAUGAAGUUUAGUUUGGUAGGAUAUAAAAAUUCUUGGAUGAAAUUUUUCUUAAAGAAUGGUAAAAAUAGACCCCUAAUCCUUCCUGGAUUGUAAGAUAUCUACUGAUAAAUCCACUGUUAGCCUGUUGGGCUUCCCUUUAUACAUGAUCUAACCUUUUUCCCCUGGCUGCCUUUAAGAAUUUUUCUUUAACAUUGACUUUGGAGAGUCUGAUGACUAUAUACCUUUGGUGAUGUUUGUUUUCUACACUAUCUUGCAGUUAUUCUCUGGAUUUCUUGCAUCUAGAUACCAACCUCCCUAGGAAGAGUAGGAAAUUUUUUUUUGAAUUAUUUGUUCACAUUAUUUGUUUGUCUCCUUCUCUUUUGGCAAUACCAAAUAAUUUUUAGGUUUGCUUACUUUGAAUUAUCCCAAAUUUCUCAAAGACUUUGUAUAUUUCUAAAAAUUGUUUUAAAAAUUUUUGUCUGAUUAUAUUUGUUAAAAAGACUGGUCUUCAAGCUCUUAAAUUAUUUCUUUUUCUUGGCCUGACUGUAUUAGUUAGAAAGACUUGUCUUCAAGCACUUAAAUUGUUUCUUUUUCUUGGUCCAGUCUAAAUUGCUAAAGCUCUCAAUUGUAUUUUGAAAUUCCUUAAGUGAGUUUUUCAAUUCCAGAUGCUCAGAUUUAUUUCCUUUUAGAAUGUUUAUCUGUUUCAUCAUUUACUAGAUUGCUUUAGAAGUUUCAUCAUGUUGAUUUUCUUUGUGUUGUCUUGGAUCUUUUUGAGCUUCCUUGCAAUCCAUGCUUCAAAUUUUUAUCUAUAAUUUCUCAGUUUCCAUUUUGAUUACAUUGCUGGAGAGCUCUUUCCAUCCUUUGGUGUGUCAUUACAUUUAGAUUUUUCAUGGUGCCCAAAUUCUUGUGCUGUUUCCUUCUCAUCUGGGGACAUUAACAUUUACAAUUUUGUAAUUAUUUUCAUACAGGUGAAUAUUUUAUUUUUGUUUUAUUCCCUAUAUAUUUUUUUUCUUUUCCUUUCCCUCUUCACUAUAGGGUGUGACUCUUGAGAGUACUGAGCAGGGUCUUUUGGCUUUGUUUCUAUAGCCCUAUGCACGUCUGUCACUAGGUUUUAUACUGGGCUGUGCAGUUUGACCUACAAGCCAGUAGAUGGUACUUACAGGUAACAGCCAGCUGCAGCCAAUGUGGCUGAGUAUAUACUUGAUCUUGUUACUGAGAUAAUCUCUCUGUUUCCUCAGGAAAUGGGCUGAUUCAUGAAGUACACAGUGGUCUUAGCUCCCUGCUUAGUCUUGGGGGACUGGGGCCAAGAUAGGCAGGGCUGGCCUAGGCAGGUUCACCUACAGGUCCCCCAAUUGCCAGCAUAAGCACCAAAACUGAGGAAGAAUUCAGUGGGUGGCCACCAAGCACCCACAAAUAUGUCUAAAUGUGGAUUUAGGAAGCCUUUCUGGCCCCAGGUUCUCUGCAUUGGGAUGGUGGCUGGUCUAAACUCCUAAUUUUAGAACAGUGGGUGCUCCAGAUGCCUGGAGAUCUCCCUGUAUAUCAAGCAUGGAGUCCCCUCCAUGCACCAGGAUUUCUGCACAGGAAGUGUGGGGUAGCUCAGGCCACUAUUUGAGGCAAACAGGUGCUCUAGAUGCCUAGAGAUGGGCCUGGGUUGGAGUAGAGAGGGCUUCUAUGCAAGAAGAUUUCUGCAUAGGAAGAGUAGGGUGAGAGAGACUGCCAAUCCCAGUGAGCAGAUGUUCUGAAUGCCUGGAUCUCUGCCUGGGCUUAGAGCAGAAAGAACCUCACUGCACCAUGAUGUAAGCCCAGGAAGAAUGGGGUAUAUGAGACUGAUGAACCAGUUGAAUGAUUACUCCAAAUACCUGGAGAUCUGCCUGGGCAUGAAGCAGAAAGUUCCUCCCUGCACCAUGAUCUAUGUCUAGGAAGAGUGGAGAAGGUAAGGCUGUCAUCCAGGCAAGCAAGUGCUCUAGAUGGCUGGAGGUAUGCCUGGACAUGGAACAGAGAGAAUCCCACUCACCACGAUCUACAUCUAGGAAGGGUGGGGCGAGUUGGGCUGCUAAUACAGCUGAGUGGUUGCUUCAAAUGCCUGGAGAUCUGUCUAAGCAUGGAGCAGAGAGGGCCCCACUAUACCUUGAUUUAUGUCCAGGAAGAGUGGGGCACCUCAGGCUGAUGGUCUAGGCAAAUGAUGCUCCAAAUGCCUGAAUUUCAGCCUGAGGUUAGAGCAGAGAGGAUCUUGAUGCACCACUAUUUCAGGGGAGCAGGCUGGUAAACCCAGUAAUAGCACAUGCAGACCAGGUCAGCACAAGCUGACCCUGGUGGCAAGUCUUGCCCAGGCAAAAUUGCAGCUGUAGCAGCUCCCUUUUGCCCUAGGUUUCUGAUGUGGGAAAGCACAAUUCAAAGACAUGUUUCAUGUUAUUUUAUCUGUUCUUAUAAUACUAUAUUUUAUUCUAUAUUGAAUAAGAAUGAAAAUAGUAAAUAAUGACUCAAUGUAGUAUCAAUUAAAUAUUGUAAUUAAAAUGCUUACACAAGUGAUUGACAAAAACAGACACUAAAUAAAUAUUGGCAAUUGUUAUUUGGUGGGUCCUCACUGAAUUUUCAACUUUUGUUCUUUCCUCUAGGUCAGUCUUGUUUGCAUUUUGUUUCAAACUGGGUUAACCUAGCAGUAGUGUGCUAUUCAUUUGAGAACGUAGAAAAUAGGAAUACACAUUCAGUACGAAUAAUUCCUAAUCCUAAACACAGAAAUGUAAGAUAAAUUAUACUACAUAAACACCACAAGUCAUGCCAAACACAGACUUAUUUUUGUUCACUGUCGUGACACUAGGGAGACAUCUGACUCUUUAGCUCUGUGACACUGACAUUUCCGGCUUAGAAUUCAUUUCCGUUAAAAAUCAUCUUAAUAUCAUUUAAAAUAAUAUGCUGUGACUUUUGGGAUCUGCAAAAUUAUUACCGGUUAAAUAUAAAAGCAAGUCCAUAAAAAUACAAAAUAAAAUGAAUAUUGUUUUUACCUGGCAAUCCUUUGUGUCUCCACGGCAUGUAAUUUAGAAGAGGAGGACAUGUUCUAACAGAAGGAAAGGGUGCCCUCUAGUGUUUUAGUUAAAAGUGAACAAUUAGCUAACAUACCUCUCAAACUUAUAUUUAUUAGAUUCUCAACUGAAAAUAGUCUCUAGAGUAAAGAUUAGACUAAAAAAAAAUAAAGCUACUAGUAGUAUAAGGUGUUAGGAAAACAUAUGGUAUUUAUGAUGCAUUCUUCUUGAGCUUAAACAUAGAAAAGUGUAGAAUGAAAGAUUAAGUCAAUCUAUCAUGUUCUCCUUUUCCAUCACCUAAUAAAUUACAGUUACUCUAUCUGUGGAGUUUGCCUCAAGCUUGGAAUUGCUAAACAUUUAUGAUAAUAUUGCAGCUGUCAUUGUCCAAAAAUACAUAGAUAUGAACAUUUUUGUCACAAAAUGUUGACUGUAUACAUUUCCUUCAAACUGAUUUUUUCAAUAUUUUUAGUAAUAAUUUUAGCCAGAUUAGAUUAAAACACAAUAUAAAUUACUUUUUAUAUAUUUAAAAUACUUCACUAAAUAUUUUAUGCAUUUCUAUGUCCUAUUUUAUUAGAAUUAAUAAUAAUAUAAUGUAUUGUCAAUUUUCUCCCUAAAUUGAAUAUAUUUCUCUACAGUUUUCUCAAGAGGGAUUUGCAGAGACAGGAUGCUAUGAAAUUACCUCUCCCAUGCCCUCCACAGUACUAAGACUGAGGUACCUGUCUACAUCAAAAGAUGAGUACUACAAUGCAGAUGACUUAGCCAGUUGGCUGACUAGGGAUGUUGGAUGCCAGGUCUCCUCAGAAAGAUCAAAGUUACAGGUGAAUGCCCAUGAUUUAAAUGGAAAUCUGAGGGAAUGAAGCAAGGACCUGUUGGAGCACCCAUGGGAAGAACCUGGGGCACAAAAGAGGAAAGCAGCAAGAGACUGACAGAGAUUGUCUCCCUAGAAACCUGGACCACGAAAAGGGUGGAGAGGAGAAAACUCUGUGCUAAAUAUUACUCCUGGAAAAGUGCAUUUGCUUCGGAGAAAUCUUUAUCAUGGGUCUCUAAGAGGAAGGAACAAUAGCAUCUUCUAUGUGCCGAGGUAGCGCAAUAAUGAACUCUGUUCAAGUGGAUCAAAAGCCAUCAAGGUCAAAAUUAGGCACAGGCUGUACAGGAAGCGUGAUUCUGGCAUCUGUUUGGUUUCUGGGAAGGCCUCAGGAAACUUAAAGUCAUGGAAGAAGGGGAAGGGAGAGCAGGCACGUCUUACAUGACCAAAGCAGGAAGAAGAGAGAGAAGUGUGGAGGUGCUAUACACUUUUAAACAGCCAGAUCUUGUGAGAACUCUGUCAGAAGAACAGCACUAGGGAAAUGGUGCUAAACCAUUCUUGGGGACUCCAUCCCUGUGAUACAAUCACCUCCCACCAGGCCCCACCUCCAACACUGAGAAUUACAACUCAACAUGAGAUUUGGAUGGGGACACAGAUCCAAACCAUAUCAAAUUUUCACACCUUUCAGUAAAGCUUUAUAUUUUUUAAGGAUAUUUAAGUACUUGGAAGUAGAAGUAGAGAGUAAGGGGAAUAUUGUACAGCCAUCACAGCCUUUGUCUACUAAAGAAGUCAGUUUCAUGUGACAAAUGUUCAUUUUAAUAUUCGCUUCUUCAGUCCAUCUGGGGGUGUUUCCUUAUUUCUAUAAGAUGCUGCUUUUCAAAAAAAUUACCGAAAGCAUUCUGGAAAUCCAAGAGUAAUUGUGUGAACUAUAAGCAUUAGAAAACACAGACAUAAGUUGAAAAUAUUUAUGAACCUAAAUAGAUGUAAAGCUAGUGACUCAUAUUUUAUAAUGUAUUCACAGAUGAUAUUUCUUAAAUAAAGUAGGCAUUUCUUUAAAAUAAAAACUCUAAUAAUAUAUGUUAUUAAGAAGAAAACUAGAAAAGGAAGAAAAAAAGUGAUGGUAUGUUUGGAAGAUGCUGAGGUGAGCUGGUGAUAAAAUUAUCUCCACUGAAAAAGGAAUACAAAGAGCAGACACUGAAUAAGCCAGACAAUGUUUGAGUUUUUUCUGAAACCACUGUGCAGUUUUGGACUUUGACCUGAUUUAAUUUUCACCUCUGUUCUUCCUCCCACUCCUUCUCUUCCUUCAUCUCAUCCUCCUCUGCCUUUUACCUCUUUUAAAAAUUGCAUUUUGCAAACAAAUACAUGUUUGCCAUCAAUGAAACUAUUUCAAGAGUUCUAUAGAGAUCAAAAUGAAGGGCUUCCUGCGUUGAUGGUUAAUUCUACCAUCUUCCCCAGGUGCAACAGCUGUUAGCAGUAUAGCCUUCAGUUACCAGUUUCAGGCAUUUACCUAUGCGUCUGAACAAAUGCAUUAAAAAAUAAUGAACACACAUGCAAACUGGUUUGUUUCCAUUUUACUUAGCUCUGUAAGGUGCCAUGUUUUACAUAUUCUGCAAAUUCUCCCCAUGUACAAUACACAUAAACCCAGUAUUAUUUUUAACAUCUCCAAUAUUUUGGUACACUUCAAUUUAUUUACCACUUGUUCCCAAUUCUUGGUGAUAUCAAUGUGUCAAGCUCUUUCAAAAGAACUUUGGUUUAUCAUCCGCCUUUCACCCUGACCAUUUAUAUGUUCAUUUUGCUUUGACAAGCAGGACUUGACUUCUUUCAGCUUCCUGACUCACUUGGAAUUGUAUCAACAGGUGACUGUUAUG